AGAAGAGGAAGAGGAGGCUGAGGUAUGCAUAAUUUGUUAUAACUGUACUAUAUUUGUUUCAGUAUUUUUGCAUGUAAUGCUCUAGAAAAGUGACAUCUUCACAGUGUUGAAAGUUCUACCAUUGUGAUUGGAUGCACAAGGACAUCUGAUUAAUUGAUACCUUGAUAGUAUUACUAUUUCAUAAUUUAAACCUUUUCUCACUUCAAUUCCUCACAUUUUUGGACCUGAAAGCACCUCCUUACGUAUGUUAGUUAGAAGACAUUAAAAAUUGGUUUAAAGUUGAAUUAGACAUAUUUUAGCCUUUAAGAACUCCAAAACAACUAAAUACUUUUUUCUCAACGGCAUUUAGAGUGAUGAUUUUCCAAAAAGCAUCUUUUUGGCCUCCCAAGUGCAAUAACUGAGUUUUUUUGGGUCCUUGAAACCUUGAUAACAAUUUCCUAAAUUUCUGGGAUCUUGUUGUGUUAUGAUGCCAGAAAUUAUUUUUAUAUUUAUUUAGGUCUGUUGCACUGCUUCUACUGGGGGUAAAUAAAUUUACUUCAUAAUUAUUAGGAAAAUUUUGUAAUGCAUUUUAUUAGAUAAAAAUGAUUGCGGUGUUUCUUUUCUUGUUGAAUGCUGCUUAGUGAAUGUGAGAUGGCGACAAUAUGUUCCUAGGAGUUGACGUCCAUAGUUCCCUGGUCCAUUCUGUGUCUAUAACAUAAUUACUAGAAUGUUCUUUUAACCUUGAUUGGAAAUAAAGUAAAAGCUUAUUAUUAAUUUGGAAGCCCAUUUUCCUAUUUUGUUAUAAUGGAAGAUGUGAGGGAGGGAUGCUACUUUUAAUGUGUUAUCAUGAUUUUACCCCUCAUUAUUUUGCUAGUUUU
rnacentral:misc_RNA from 1 species